UUCCUUCUACAGAUGAGAUUAAUUCCACUAAAUUUCAGAAUGAAUGGAGACAUCAUGGAUCACUGGGAAAAGGAAAGUAGCAGUGAAGAGCUCAUUCUUG